UUUUGUGGCCCCUUCCUUCUCUUCAUGCCUUACUAACUUAAAAGCUGUGCUUUCUCAAAACUAAAACAAUCCAGAAGUCCCCUUGGCAUGAGACACGUGUGAGGUGGCUGAUGGUUCAAGAAAUCGCUGGGAUACUGCAGUCAGACUUUGUAGCUUCCAUUCCAGCGCCGCCUGUGUGGAGUUGUGCAAAUUUUGCAAGUCACUAACCACCCCUGUCUUUGGGUUUUCCGUCUCUAAAGGGGGGAAAUGAUCAUCUGUACACCACAGGACUUUUGUGAGGUUCCAUAGGGUUGUGUGUGAAAGUCUUGACAGGUUGGUUGAAGAAAUGUUAGCUCUUGGAAAUGUUUAUUCAUCCUUAUUUAUAAUUGGUGUCAUCUUCUUCCCCCUUAAGGCAAGAGCGAUGGCUGGGGCGGCGGGGAGCGCCAUAUUGUUUUCUCCAACCAAGAGAAUUAAAAUUGAAAUGCAGGGCAGCCGAUUCCUUUUCUGGUACCACCCCGUACUGACAGCGAACGGGAAGGGUGCCUGAUUAUGUCUAUUUCCCACAUGUGAUUGGGCGCCUUCCAUCAGGGGUGCUCAGGAAACUGUGCUCGGUUGCCUAAAUGUUGAGCAUCCAGCAUGUCCGAAUGGACAGAUGACUGAGGUCAAGGACGUGCCCAGAUGGAGAGAAGACCAAGGUCAAGGAUGUGCCCAAAUGGAGAGAAGACCAAGGUCAUGGACAUGCCCAAAUGGAGAGAUGACCAAGGUCAAGGAUGUGCCCAAAUGGACAGAUGACCGAGAUCAAGGACAUGCUCAAAUGGACUUCAUUUCUGCCCCCCUCUCUGAAGAGGCUCAGCUCAGAGCAUGACGCCCAGCCAGGAGAGGAUGAAGGCAUGCCUGCUAAGGAACGAUGCAUGGGAAGUCCGGGCACAGUGAUUUUCUGAAAAUCUGUAGGUGACUUUCAAAUCCAAUUUGGAUUUCCAAAUCCAUUCGGAUUCUGGAGUUGCAAAGCAUUUCUGUCACCUCGGGUUUGGGAUAUAUGACCCCCUUGGAUGUUAUGAUGCCGAUUUGACAUUCAUAUGCCAAGGCACUUGGGGAAGGACCCAAGAAUCUUAAUGGACUUGACAUUGUCCCAUACUUGGAAUGGGAUUAGGGACUUGGAAAACCAAGUGUUCCCCAUCCCCCUGUACUGCAUUCCUGGGUCUUGGUCUUUUUCCUAACGGGGGGUGAAAACAAAGUUCCUCAGGUAGAUAUAGUUGAAUUCCCUAAUUCCAAAAAAUAACAGCAUCCUUCCUGAAGAAUGGGCUCGGGCCAGUCCGGGACUCAACAUAUGCUCCUGAACAGCUAGCUAAAUUCAGUUACCCAGAAUUCCGUAUAGUCUCUCAUUCUGCAUGAGCCAAAUGAACAUUGGGGGUGACUUUACAGUUUCGAUUUGCUUUCUGGUUUUUACGGCGUUUCUGAUAUUCGCUGAUGUAGAUGCACAAAGAAAAUGUAAAAAAAAAAAAAAAAAUGAGGGAAGGAAGCUGGUAGUUCUGAUUUCAGUCAUUAGGUGCCUUUGUCUGGAGCCAUAAAAUGCCCCAUGUUAAGACAAAGAAAAUUAGAUGCUAUUUUUCUGUAAACCCCAGGACACUGACGUAGGAGAAUGAGUCUCUCUUCUGAGUACGCCACGAGACGUUUUGGUGUUUUUGACCUGUGUUGGUAGAUGAACUCAGUGUCUGUGUCCGUGAUGCCUUUUUAUGAACAGACAUAGAAUUGAAGUGUUGGAUCCAGGCAUUGGGAUCGUGAACAUCCUAGACCUUUCAGUGGAGUCUGUGCAGGACUGUUUGUGGGUUUUCUUGUCGGGAUGGUGGUUUAAAGAAGCGCAUACCCAUGUGUAGCUGUGAGCUUGGACAUUUCCUAAGAAGGAUGUGGCCACGGCGCGUCCCAGCGCUUGAAAAAACCAAGGUUUGGGGGGAAAACUAUUGUUUUACAAGAGUGGUUGUUUUUAUAGAGGGUGGUUUUCCAGGAUCUUGUCAUUGCGUUGGAUUUUGCAGGGUCUGUUGAGUUGUGCAUGAAGGUUAGUCUCCAUCAAGUAGGUGCUCUCUCAACGCGGAGAUGCAUCCAUCAAAUCCCAGCAGUCUUGCUGUACAUUUAUUGAAGUGCUUUUUAGUAUCAUGUUCUGAGCUGACGCCUGGAACAGUAUCCGUGGCCCACGAAAUUUGGUGCAUCUGUCCUUUAUUCCUGGAGAUUCCGAUGUGUACCUCCAUUCCUGCCCAUUUGGAUGCGUUUGGAUGAGUUUAAUGUGGUUUUCUUGCAAAUGACGCGCGCUGGUCUAUUAGGAGCCAUUUGGGGCGUGGGCUCGUGGCUUGCGGCAUUGGCCUCAAGUGACGGGUUUGAGCAGCGAAUGGCACGGAUGGUGACCUGCUUGGACAGAGCGCAGCUUUGGGUGGCUGUCACUUGGCGGGCACGAUUUGCUGGCCUUCCGUGUGCGUGGCGGCUGAUUCGUGUGCUCCCGGUUUCCAGCAGGUGCUUGAGGCGUUCCUGAGCCGACCUGCUGGCGUGUCCCUCGCCUUCCCCUCUGUCCCUGCUUCCGUCUGUCCCCACCUCCACCUCCCCCUCCUCUUUGAGUUUGCUUCCGUCUCUGAUCCGCGGCCGCCCGUUGCACCUUGGGCUUUCAACGCCGCUUAAAAAAGAAAACCAACCCUAGAAACCAGCUCUCCUCCCGAGUGCGAAGAGUGUCUUUGUCACACCCGGCGACCGCUGCCUGGGGCUUCGGACUCGCCUGAACCUCUCCGAAGUUUACCUUUUUGCUUUUUGUGUUGUUUUGUUUUCAUUUCUCGACCUUUCGUUUCAGAUGAGCUGAGGAUGUAGGGACGAGCGGGAAACCGUGCGCGAGCCUGGAGCUGCUCCUGUAGGAUCAGUGCUUGUCCGCUAAGAUGCUGAGUCUAAAGCAAACCCUGGCGUUUGCCCUGCUCCUUAUGGCUAGUCAGUUGCCAUGGGGAUGGGGAUGCCUCCCAGAUCCGGGAUUCUGUGUACCCACCCCACCCCCACCCCCUGCAGAUGCAUGGAAGCUCACACUCUUAUGUCGCAUUAACGUGCAGGUAGUUUCAGGACAGGAAGAGGAAUGCAAAUAUUUUCUCAUAGACUUAAAUCUGACGGAAAGAAACCGCGGCCGGCUGGGGUGGCGGGUGGCGGUGGGGAGGGGGCGCUUCUCUGCAUUCAUCCCGUUCGCGACUGUCCAUUGAGUCGACGAAUUGGGCCAGCCGGAGGGUCCCGAGACAAAGCCCACCCGGGUCGUAGGGUUUCGCUUUGCCGUGCAACUUUCAACGUCUGAUUUCCCAGCUUCUGCAGUUCUUGGAUGCCUUGCCCACUCUGUGUCCCACAAAGCAGGUCCUCACUGUCUCUGUGACCCAUGUUAUUUUUUUUUUUUUUU